rnacentral:rRNA from 1 species
UACAGAGGUCUCAAGCGUUGUUCGGAUUCAUUGGGCGUAAAGGGUGCGUAGGCGGCGCGGUAAGUCGGGUGUGAAAUUCUCGGAGCUUAACUCCGAAACUGCAUUCGAUACUGCCGUGCUUGAGGACUGGAGAGGAGACUGGAAUUUACGGUGUAGCGGUGAAAUGCGUAGAUAUCGUAAGGAAGACCAGUGGCGAAGGCGGGUCUCUGGACAGUUCCUGACGCUGAGGCACGAAGGUCAGGGGGAGCAAAACGGGG